rnacentral:rRNA from 1 species
GAGAAAUUGGGGUUAAUCCGCGAUAGAUGUAAUGUCCUGGAAUGGUAUUACGUCUAAAGGUAUUUCAUACAUGUUUGAAAUAUGCCUAAGGACGGGGCUGCGGCCGAUCAGGCUGUUGGUGAGGUAAUGGCUCACCAAACCUUUGACCGGUACGGGCCAUGAGAGUGGUAGCCCGGAGAUGGACACUGAGACAAGGGUCCAGGCCCUAAGGGGCGCAGCAACCGCGAAACCUCCACAAUGCACUCACGUGCGAUGGGGCUAUCUCGAGUGCCACCUGAUGAAGGUGGCUUUUCCUUGGUCUUCAAAGCCUUGGGAAUAAGAGGGGGGCAAGACUGGUGUCAGCCGCCGCGGUAACACCAGCCCCUCGAGUGGUGGGGAUGAUUAUUUGGCCUAAAGCGUCCGUAGCCGGCCGAGCAAGUCUUCCGUUAAAUCCAGCGUCUCAAGCGUUGGACCGCGGGAGAUACUACACGGCUAGAGAGUGGGAGAGGUCAGCGGUAUUCUGGGGGUAGGGGCGAAAUCCUUUGAUCCCCGGAGGACCACCAGUGGCGAAGGCUGCUGACUAGAACACGUCUGACGGUCAGGGACGAAAGCUGGGGUAGCGAACCGGAUUAGAUACCCGGGUAGUCCCAGCCGUAAACGAUGCAUGCUAGGUGUUGGGUUGGCCACGAGCCACCCCAGUGCCGCAGGGAAGCCGUUAAGCAUGCCGCCUGGGAAGUACGAUCGCAAGAUUGAAACUUAAAGGAAUUGGCGGGGGAGCACCACCAGGCGUGAAGCCUGCGGUUUAAUUGGAGUCAACGCCGGG